CUCUUCCGAUGCGUCCGUCCAUCGUCGUCGAUGGGGUUCUGCUCCUUCCGCGGCCUCGCCUCCCCUUUCGUCGGAUAUCACCUGUCGCGCGCCCUACUAGAAUACUAAUCCGGACCCCGAUGCUGCAGUGUCCCCCCUCGCCCGCCUCCUAACACUCGCUGAACCGAGUUCGUUCCAUAAUCUCGACGCACCAGUGUGCAGCUCAUGGUGAAGAAACGGAGGUUGGGGUCGAUUACGUGGCGUUGCUCCGCAACGGAUGAAUCAAUCAGUGGGGAGACAGGUGCUUGCUCCCGGUUCCUGGUAGCGGCGGAACUCGGAGGUUCGCCCGGUGGGCGUCUACAGGUGAUUAUCUCGUUCUAUCGACGUCCGGUUCCCCUUAUUUCGGAUUCCUGCUGCUACUACGGUGCUUGCGAGAUUUAUCAGAUUGAUUAAUUAAAUGACGGUUGUUUCACUAACAUAUUUGAGCUACUCCUUCGAAAUGCGCUUAGGCUCCGUUUGGAUGUAGACAUCCAUAGAAUUGAAAUGGAUCCAAAUACCAAUUCUACCUCGGUAUUGAAAUGGACCUCAAUUCUGUGCAAAUCAGAGGGGUAGCCCUCGGAAUUGACGGCGUGUGUGCUGCAAUUCCACCUCGGUAUUGACGUGCAAUUCCACCGUCGAAUUCCGGCGCCAACCAAACAACAGUAUUCGUACAGACAAAUGCCAAUUCCGAAUUCCACGCUGCAAUACUGACUUCCAAACGCUGGGUUAGCCAAUUUUGAAAAUGUCGAAUUCCUUUGGUAAACUCGAUUCGGUCGUUGUCGGAUAAGGUAGUCCGAUUCGAAUCCGGAUAUUCUUUCCAUUAUAUAUGUCAGAUGAUUGUAAGUAGUAGGUUAGUAGCACCUGCAGGUGAGCUACAAUCCUUUUUUAUCUUAUGCAGAAACUACUUUUAGGUCUCCUUUGGAAUGCUAUAAAAAAUUUUACAUGAAUUAGUUCAAAAACACAAGAAAAACGCAAGAUUCAGGAAUUUAUACUUCAACCCAAAGGAGGCCUUACUUACAAAAGUAUAGAGCCAGAUGCACUAUUGUUUAACUUCAAAAAAAUGGGAACAUGUCCAAUGUAAUAAUCAUGUUGGUCAAAAUCCAGUAGUAACUGAUUUUUUAGAUAAAGGAACAUCGUUCCGACCUCUUCACCCUCAUGGAUGAAUGGGGCCAAAGUAGUAACUGGUAUUUUAGGUCGAAGGAGUUAAAUGUAAAAUAGGUGGUAUGUAUCAGAUGGAAGAGUUAGAUAUAAAAUAGCAGUCACAUUUAGAUUUUGCUUGGAUGCACCAUGCGAACUGAACUGACGAACCACUGAUGACCCUGUUGUUGGUUACAAGGUACUAACCUAUUAAUCUCUGGUGUUGACCUUCCUACAGAAAGCUAGGUGAUCUCUUGAAUCGAUUCAGGAAAUAUGGAGUUUUCUUUUCUGCUGAUACAAUGCUGAAGGUGGGGUCAAUGUCACUGCAGUGACUUGGGUGACCUAUAAGCACUGCUCAUAUUGUGAGGUUCUCUUGGAUAUUCAGGAAGGAGCCGCAGAUGUUCCCGCCAAGAUCUGGGAAUGUGGCACACCCAGACAGAGGAUUCACCUUGCCCCUGGAAUC
rnacentral:lncRNA from 1 species